UACGUAGGCAGCAAGCGUUGUUCGGAAUUACUGGGCGUAAAGAGUGUGUAGGCGGUGCUCUAAGUUCGGUGUGAAAUCUCCCGGCUCAACUGGGAGGGUGCGCCGGAAACUGGAAUGCUUGAGCGUGGGAGAGGAAAGCGGAAUUCCUGGUGUGGCGGUGAAAUGCGUAGAUAUCAGGAGGAACACCGUGCGGUGCUGAGACGGCUUUCUGGACCAUUGCUGACGCUGAGACACGAAAGCGUGGGUAGCAAACAGG
rnacentral:rRNA from 1 species